GCCGAAGUAGCUCAGAUUGGUUAGAGCGCCAGACUCAUAAUCUGGAAGUCGCGUGUUCAAGUCACGCCUUCGGCA
rnacentral:tRNA from 1 species